UGAGGAAUAUUGGUCAAUGGUCGCAAGACUGAACCAGCCAUGCCGCGUGCAGGAUGAAGGCCCUCUGGGUUGUAAACUGCUUUUCUCAGGGAAUAAACCCUUCUACGUGUAGAAGGCUGAAGGUACCUGAGGAAUAAGCACCGGCUAACUCCGUGCCAGCAGCCGCGGUAAUACGGAGGGUGCAAGCGUUAUCCGGAUUUAUUGGGUUUAAAGGGUGCGCAGGCGGGGCUUUAAGUCAGUGGUGAAAUCUCUUCGCUUAACGAAGAAACUGCCAUUGAUACUGAAGUUCUUGAAUCUAGUUGACGUUAGUGGAAUGUGUCAUGUAGCGGUGAAAUGCUUAGAUAUGACACAGAACACCGAUCGCGAAGGCAGCUAACGAAGCUAGUAUUGACGCUCAGGCACGACAGCAUGGGGAGCAAACAG
rnacentral:rRNA from 1 species